GAGUUUGAUCCUGGCUCAGGAUGAACGCUGGCGGCGUGCUUAACACAUGCAAGUCGAACGGGAAAUAUUUCAUUGAGACUUCGGUGGAUUUGAUCUAUUUCUAGUGGCGGACGGGUGAGUAACGCGUGGGUAACCUGCCUUAUACAGGGGGAUAACAGUCAGAAAUGGCUGCUAAUACCGCAUAAGCGCACAGAGCUGCAUGGCUCAGUGUGAAAAACUCCGGUGGUAUAAGAUGGACCCGCGUUGGAUUAGCUUGUUGGUGGGGUAACGGCCCACCAAGGCGACGAUCCAUAGCCGGCCUGAGAGGGUGAACGGCCACAUUGGGACUGAGACACGGCCCAGACUCCUACGGGAGGCAGCAGUGGGGAAUAUUGCACAAUGGGGGAAACCCUGAUGCAGCGACGCCGCGUGAAGGAAGAAGUAUCUCGGUAUGUAAACUUCUAUCAGCAGGGAAGAUAAUGACGGUACCUGACUAAGAAGCCCCGGCUAACUACGUGCCAGCCGCCGCGGUAAUUC
rnacentral:rRNA from 1 species